UACGUAGGGUGCGAGCGUUAAUCGGAAUUACUGGGCGUAAAGCGUGCGCAGGCGGUUCGUUGUGUCGGUGGUGAAAUCCCCGGGCUUAACCUGGGAAUGGCCAUGGAAACUGGCGAACUGGAGUGCGGCAGAGGGGGGUGGAAUUCCGCGUGUAGCAGUGAAAUGCGUAGAGAUGCGGAGGAACACCGAUGGCGAAGGCAGCACCCUGGGCAGUGGCUGACGCUGAGGAGCGACAGCGUGGGGAGCAAACAGG
rnacentral:rRNA from 1 species